UAUGCAGUUUUACAUUUACUAUCACAGGUUAUUUUAUUUGUUACUUUUGGCUCUCAUAGGGAGAAGUCCAUAUUUGGUCCUUGUCUCGGUGUGUUGGUAGUGCUCCAGAGCUCUGUAGAGAAGUGUGAGUCCAGCAGAGGACGAUCUCAGCACCUGUGGUGCAUCCUACUGACUAUACUCCUGAUCUAGAACCACCCUGCUUUGUGAAGAACAGGCAAAGGAAGAGACACUAGUUCCCUUGGGCUGCUGAAAGAGCUCUCAAGAGCGAGUUAUGGGGCUCUUUGGAUCCAACAUCUGACUGCGUACCCCACUAGCUUUUACAAGACACCCAGCUUCUCCUUGCAUGAGUCUCUUCACCUGUCAGAUGGCAAUAACAUGCUAUAUUCAAUAUUUCCGUCAAUAACAAAUCAUUCUGUGAUGGCAGUUUCAUAAGACCAUAAAGGAGUCCAAAGCUUCCUGUCACCUGGAGACACCACAGCUGCCACAGUACAGUGCAUCACUCACAGGCUAGUGAGUGUACUACAGGUCAACGGUACUACUCAUACGAAAACACAGAACGCACCAUUAUGUCCAGUGUGAUGCCUGUCAAUAGUAAUGUGACUGAGUC